CAUAACCACAGUACCGGACCACCCCAGGCCAUUCAACGCCACCAACCCGGUCCGUUCAUUGCAGCAACACCCAGGAUCUGGCUACCACCAUGUCGUUCCCACGGUGACGUUCGAUGGAGCACCUCGUCUCUCUCCUGCUGCAGGGAGGCCCAGCUACUGCACUGUGGAGGUAGAGAUUAAACAUCCCCCGGAGCACAUCGUCGGUGUCCAUGAGCGGGGCUCCCGUGGAUGGCUGGAUCCCGUCGUCGGCGUCGAUAGCGUCCACGAGCGCGAGCACCCCACAUCCGGCGUCGCGGCCUCUUCCUUCUGUAGGUCACCGCCUCCUGCUUCUGCAGGCCGUGCCCCAUCCCCCGAUUCCCGCAGCAGACAGGCCGUUCACCGCCGGCACCACAGUCCGUUCACUGCCGACAACCGAGGCCGUU